GCUUUCUCGGCGUCGUUCGGAUCGCAACAGUGAGCUUUCGGGGUGAGCUUUCGGGGCUAAGUGUCGGGCGGAGUUAGUCCAGCUUUGUAGAUACCUAGCAGGGUUUUAAGAUAAAUUUACAUUGUCUGCUACGGAGAUAGAGCCACAAAUGUCUAAAUGUUCUCCAGGGGACGGCACGGGCGAUCUCCGCCCUGGUCGGCCUCGCUACCACCUGAUCAAAUGCCUCUUGAAGCUUUCUUUCGUAGUGGGGUGAGCAGCAUUCCUGUGGCGCUGGUGCCUCUGCAUGGAGGAGCCAUCCGGCUCAACCACCCGAAGGCAGUGCAGGCGGAACUUCAGGCGGCAACGCACCACUACUUGCACAUCACUGAUGUGCGACAGUUUGGCAGAGGUGGGAUUGUUUGCCGUUCGCCAGACCAGGCGUGUGUGCACGACUUACUUAAGUGCUCAUCAUUUGGAUCGAUGCAAGUGCUGUAUAUUGAAGGAAAGGAAAGGAACAGAACGGUGAAGAUGAAAAGACUUCCAUGCAGUUCCACUACCAGUGCACCGGUUUCCGCAAGCCAGGUCAUCUCAUGGCCAAGCACGUGUUCUAAAUCAUAAAGAGACACGCAGGAAACAGGACGACCAUCCCGCACUACAGUGCCUCCCCCCGAUCGCAGGACGGGCUCGACAAGCGUUUACGUAUGACGUGCUCCUGGCCUUCGUCGUCGAGUCCGAUCCGCUAUUCUGUAACUGCGAGACUCCCACACGCACACCGGGCCGACCGUCCUCAGAGUUCUAUCCGCUCCCAUGCCUGAAUUACCUUCGACCCCAGCCAAGGUGUCGCCACUCUUUUCAAUGAAGACGUCACGUCCAGGAAGUCGUUCGGUGUGUUUUGUUUGACUCCUGGGUGCGGCGAGGGAGUAAACUUGGAGUACUUGGUAAAACCCACUAGAAACAAGGGGAGUAAAAUCAGCUGCUGAUCUGGAGUGGUGCAAACCUGUUAAGUAAGUCAGGAGAAAGGAAAAUGGGGGCGAUGACGAUGAUGUAUAGCGUUAAACUUCCGCAGAAAGACUAACCGCACCAACAUCCACUAAUGAGGAAUAUGCAGUGGGAGGCAUGGCUUGCGGACGAGGGUCGGGAGAGCCAGUUGGCUCUUCUGGACCAAGCCCGGCGAGCCGCUAGAGCCAGUGGGGCCCUGGUAUAGGGGCUCCAACCAUCGUGCCUUAUUUUAUAUACAUUGAAUAAAGUUUUACUCUCUCUCUCUGUGGAUGCAAGGACACUGGGAGAAUCUUCUGUCAGCAUGGCCUGUGUUACACUUUCACAGAUGGAUGAGUUUCCUGUUGGGAUCUGUGUGGACAUACACCUGUUUUUGCGUCUCCUUUUGUGUAACGUCGAUUAAUUGCUUGUCAACCAGCAUUUACACGGCAUGUUCAAUAAACUUAAAUUUGUUAGUGCAUC